rnacentral:rRNA from 1 species
UUGAACGCUGGCGGCAGGCCUAACACAUGCAAGUCGAGCGGAUGAAGGGAGCUUGCUCCUGGAUUCAGCGGCGGACGGGUGAGUAAUGCCUAGGAAUCUGCCUGGUAGUGGGGGAUAACGUCCGGAAACGGGCGCUAAUACCGCAUACGUCCUGAGGGAGAAAGUGGGGGAUCUUCGGACCUCACGCUAUUAGAUGAGCCUAGGUCGGAUUAGCUAGUUGGUGGGGUAAAGGCCUACCAAGGCGACGAUCCGUAACUGGUCUGAGAGGAUGAUCAGUCACACUGGAACUGAGACACGGUCCAGACUCCUACGGGAGGCAGCAGUGGGGAAUAUUGGACAAUGGGCGAAAGCCUGAUCCAGCCAUGCCGCGUGUGUGAAGAAGGUCUUCGGAUUGUAAAGCACUUUAAGUUGGGAGGAAGGGCAGUAAGUUAAUACCUUGCUGUUUUGACGUUACCAACAGAAUAAGCACCGGCUAACUUCGUG